GAACCGGCCCUUUUUAGGGCCACAAAAAAUUUUCCAAUGUGGGAAGU
rfam:Dufourea novaeangliae contig2680, whole genome shotgun sequence.